rnacentral:lncRNA from 1 species
CGUUCGGAUGACACACUUUUCCUGUUAUAUGGCAUAUCUCUCGGUAGUCGAACCGUUACAAUGCAACUCGACAACUCGGCACGAUACUUGGCUCUCGGCCUGAAGCUAACUAUAAAAGAAAGAAGUUCUUUCGACCGGCAAGAUGGAACACACUGCUGGCAACCUUGGAACGCUGAUUAAUCGUAUAUACGAGAAAUCUUCCACUCCCUUUUGACUAUGACGAUGAUGCGUUAACUACCGCUGUUUACUUUAUUUUAAAAUCACGGAGCCGUUCCAAAUAACAAAACAAAUAAGUAGAAUAUCCGAUCGUGGAAUGUUGCAUGCAAGAAAUACGACUAUACAGAUAAUAUGCGUAAAAAUAAACGCUUUUUAAUCAUGCA